AUGAGGUCACUUAUGGGCUUCAGAAAGCCAAUGAGCAUGUUCAACAGCAGUUAUUCGAAUCCAAAAGGCGUCACAUUGAGGAACUUCAGAAAGCCAAUGAGCAUAUACAUGUCCAUGAACCACCGUCUGAGUGCGCGUGAUGUUUUUACCCUCCUCGUUCAUAACACGACGGCUUUCGGGUCAAGCGAGUGCUUGCCACAGUACAUGUCCAUGAUGAGCUGCAUCAUCACGUUGCACUUUCAUCUCCCAGCUACCUUCAACAUCCUGCUGCCACCUGCACCUCUAGCUUUCGGUCAUCGUAUAAAUGUGCAGCUAGAGCUAGGUGACAUCAUUGCUGAGAUAUGUUCUCUGAUAUUUCUGCACGAGAACAAACCAGACCCAAUUGUUCAUGGAGAUCUUAAGCCCACCAACAUUCUCCUUGAUGCUAACUUAGUCAGCAAACUUAGUGGCUUCGGUAUCUCUCAUCUAUUAAACGAACCUAAGAGCAAAAGCACCAAGCAGCCUAUGGAGGACCCUACAUACAUUGACCCAGAAUAUCUUGCCACUCCGAAGAUUACACCUCACUUGUUUCCCUUUUUGCCGGCAUUCCAGUCUGUGGCCUUUCUGCACGAGAACAAACCAGACCCGAUUGUUCAUGGAGAUCUUAAGCCCACCAACAUUCUCCUUGAUGCUAACUUAGUCAGCAAACUUAGUGGCUUCGAUAUCUCUCAACUAUUAAACAAACCUAAGAACACAAUGGCUUUCAGGUCGAGCGAGUGCUUGCCACCGUACAUGUCCAUGAUGAGCUGCAUCAUGACGUCGCAGUUUCAUCUCCCAGCUACUUCCAACAUCCUGCUGCCACCUGCACCUCUAGCUUUCGGGCUAGAGCUAGGUGACAUCAUUGCUGAGAUAUGUUCUCUGAUCUUUCUGCACGAGAACAAACCAGACCCAAUUGUUCAUGGAGAUCUUAAGCCCACCAACCAUCUCCUUGAUGCUAACUUAGAAUUCCCAAUCCCCAACCACAGAGACACGCCGCCGCCCGCCAUUGCUACACCUCGCUCCCCCACUCACCGCCACCUGAACUCCCCGCUGCCGCCAAUCAUCCUCCCUCCUCUGGCAAGGCUAUCGCGUCUUCAUGGCACCUUCCCUGCUCUGUCUGUUCGCUCGUGA
rnacentral:rRNA from 1 species